rnacentral:lncRNA from 1 species
GGCCUGGAUGAUUCAAGAAAAAAAGCUGGACGUUUGCUCAUAAAAGGUUAAUUAUUUGUCCCGCAUAAAUGUCGGGUUUUAUUGUGAAUGACAUCCAACUUUAAUGCACAAAUCUCACGCAAAUUAAUUCGUAUCUCAAUCUAGAACAUAACUGUUGAUUUAUGGAUAGCCACAGCCUCGUUUCAAGUGGAUCUCUUUGCCUUUAUUGCUUGGAGACAAGAGGGCUGUUUAAGUCUCUGCGUACGGUGCUUCUACGGGUGCAUCCCAGCGAUGGAUGGGCACAAGCAUAGCACAAACUUCCUCAUACGUUGGACCUUGGACGUCCCAACGUAGGGGGUAAAAAUUAUUAGCAACUACAGCUCAGUGAACAGGAGACAGUUGAUCAAGCUAUGUAAAGUCUCCCACCAAGACACACGACACUUUCGGGGC